rnacentral:rRNA from 1 species
AUUGAACGCUGGCGGCAUGCUUUACACAUGCAAGUCGAACGGUAGCAGGCCGCAAGGUGCUGACGAGUGGCGAACGGGUGAGUAAUGCAUCGGAACGUGCCCAGUCGUGGGGGAUAACGCAGCGAAAGCUGCGCUAAUACCGCAUACGAUCUAUGGAUGAAAGCGGGGGACCGUAAGGCCUCGCGCGAUUGGAGCGGCCGAUGUCAGAUUAGGUAGUUGGUGAGGUAAAGGCUCACCAAGCCAACGAUCUGUAGCUGGUCUGAGAGGACGACCAGCCACACUGGGACUGAGACACGGCCCAGACUCCUACGGGAGGCAGCAGUGGGGAAUUUUGGACAAUGGGGGCAACCCUGAUCCAGCAAUGCCGCGUGCAGGAAGAAGGCCUUCGGGUUGUAAACUGCUUUUGUCAGGGAAGAAAUCCUGUGGGUUAAUACCUCGUGGGGAUGACGGUACCUGAAGAAUAAGCACCGGCUAACUACGUGCCAGCCGCCGCAGUAACAC